rnacentral:lncRNA from 1 species
UGACUAGGCCCAUUUUGACUAACCGAUCCACAAUUUUAUUUCAACCCACUUUCUGCGGGCCACUUUACCAGUUGAUACAAAACUGUGAGAAGUUUUUCGACGAACAAAGAAAAAAAAUGGAAAUUACGUGUUAAUAUUGUAGAAUAAAUUUUAUUUGCGAUAUCAGACUCUUACAAACAUACAACAAUGUUGGGCCAAUGAUGUUCCAACAUUCUAAAGUAUUACCCAGCUAUGAAACCAUUCAUGUGUCGCAAAGAGAACAUUGAUAGUGGGCAGCAAAACGUAUUAAGAGUUACCUCCCUUGAUAAUGCGAAGGAGCCGUCUGGCAUAAGGGCUAUUCACUGUACAUCAAUAAAGGAGGUUCCAGCCUGCGUCCCUGAGACAAGGUAUGCAUGAUUAACUAUGUAUAGACUGUACUUUGUUUUAUCUGGAAGGAUUUGUUCAAAUAUAUAUGCCAAAAGUAAGUAACUAUAGAUCUAAAUGUAUUAUUAUUAUUGUUGUUAUCUUGUGCCUUUAUACUGUCCAUACCCAUGAUAUUUAUAUCAAAUUAUGUAUGUUUUAGGGCAGAUCCGGACUAUCGUGAAGUUCUCACUCUACGCCCAUUGAAAAUAAAUCCCUUCUGACCCAA